AGUUUCCUGAGCGACGGGAGUGAUAGGAGUGUCUUACACAGAGCUCCUAAAUCCUUUGGAAUUUCCUGGUUUACAGGAGUGUCCUUUAUUUUAAUGAGGUGACUCUUGAUGGGCUCCUGGAUGGGGGCUGGUCACCAGAAAGAACAAGCAUGACUGAGACCUUGGAACUUUCAGCCCCAUCCCUCUUCCUCUGGAGAUGGGAGAGGGCCUGGAGAUUGAAUUGAUAAUUGAUCAUGCGUACAUAAUGAAGCCUCUGUAGAAAUUCCUGAAGUACGGGGUUUGGGAAGCUUCUGGGUUGGUGCUCAUGUGGAGGUGCUGGGAGAGUGGUGUACCCUGAGAUGGCAUGGAAGCUCUGCGCCCCUUCUUCCAUCCUUUUAUUAUAUAAUAAGCUGGUAAAUAUAAUUAUGCGUUUUCUCAAGUUCUGAGAGCCAUUUUAGAAAGUUAUCAAACUUGAGGAGAGGGUUGUGGGAGGCCCCCAACUUAUAGGCGGUUGUUCAGAAGUUCAAGUGACAACCUGGGGCUUGGGACUGGCAUCUGAAGUAGGGGGCAGUCUUGUGGGACCGAGGCCUCAAGAUAUGGGGUCUGUGCUAACACCAGGCAGUUAGCAUCAGAAGACAAUUGUAGGACACCCAGUUGGUGUCCGGACAGUUGGAGAAUUGCUGACAGUUGGAAAACUGUCCAGACAGUUGAAAAAAAUCUCCACACAUUUGAUGUCAGUAUUCUGUGUGUAGAAGAAAUGUAAUUUUUUCCUUCUAGCCACUCUAAAUGCUUUCCCUGUAUUAAUUUACUAAUCUUAACAAUAAACCAUGAGACAGAUAGAUGCUCAGAGGUACAGAGAGACCUAAGGAUCUGCUCACGUUCUCACAGCUGCACAAGGGCAUAGCUGUCCUCGAACCCAGCAGUCUAGCUUCAGAACAUGGGCCCUCUGUCUCCCCGCUGCAUCUGCCUCCCCUGUGUGACUCUUGAAGUUUUAUUGGCCACCAAUGGCUCCUGGUUUUCCUCUGUGCCCCCAGAAUGGAUUGUCCCGCUGUGGCCUUCAUUUCCCCAGGACUUUAAUUCAUUCUCAUCUGCCUCCUUUGGGAGGUUGGGGCUUCCCGAGCCCUGCCCCAGGCAACUCACAUGCCCCGUGGCUGACUGCACGGAAAGAGGCAGACGUUGCCACCACCCCCAGCUGGCAGCGCCUGCCACAGCCCAGCUCACAGAGGGCGGGGGCGAAGCAAUUACCCGGAAAAGGCAGGCGAAACUCCCACGGAGCCACAGGCCUUUUUUUUUUUUUUUGACUCUGAUGUGACAGUGUGGUGGCAGGAAUCUUAACCAGUCUCAUUUCCCAGCUCCCAUAACAACCCAGUCCCUGAGAACCUGCCCCCGAGAGCUCAGAACAUCAGUUUGCACCAUGUGAAAAUGAGAGCGAAACCCCUGGGAGUCAGACCUAACGCAGCGUGUGCAAAGCGAAAGCAGCCAGCGUCCCCUCGGCCCUUCCUUCUUACGUCUGCAAGACGCCCAGAUUUCAGAGCUCCCAGAAAAAGACCUGAGGGAUGCAGCUGACUGGAAGAGAGAACAAAAAGAAACUGGAUAGAAAUAACCGGAAUUCCUCGCAUGGGCACGGCAUCCUGCCACUUAGAGCGUGCCAUUAACCCCUUAUGCAUUUUGUAGAUGGGACCCCAUGGGGGCGAGAGAGAUUCAUGACUUCUCAUGGUCACUGGGCUGAUAAAUGGCAGAGUGAAGACUUGAAACUGAUAAGCGAUGCAUGUGGAGACAGAGCCCUGACCCCGUGACCCCCAGGACAGGGGGAAAGCAGAGCCCCGGAGGCGGCAUAGUUGACAAUUGCUAGGUUUAAUGUGGCAAUUUACUGUGGAUGGGGGUUGCUGCAUGUUUAGACUCUAGCCAUGGGUUAUGUUUGGUCCAAGACUAUGGACCUGGAGGGUGGUGUCCAAACCCCGCAUCGGGCAGGGAUCCAAACUCCGCUGUCUCCAGGCAGCAGCUGUCCAGCAGUCAUAUAUAUUUGGCCUUAAAGUAUCCUUUAAAAUGCGAAUCUUUUGCUAACAUUUAAAAAUCAGGAGAAUCCACAUAGGAAUUGGUAUUUCUGGCAUCUCUUAAAAAUGUGAAGAUUGGGCAUGACUAGGCUUGCUGCCCCAGGAGCUGAGCUGCGUUGCUCCCCGCCGCCCCCCCCCCCCCCCGAAGGUGUGUGUGGUCUUUCCGUGUAACCCAGUCCACGGCCAUUCCCGACCGCUCGCCUCCGCGGCGCCACCAGCCCGGCCCCUGUAGGCACUGGGGGUUUUGACUCUUGCUACAGAACAAAACCUCUUAACAUUUUUAAGGUCACGAAUAGAACUCAGGGGGUCUAAGAACUUGGAUGGGUAAAAAUUACAUAUUUCCACUAACCUCUACCUAAAACUGACCAUUUCCUUCUAUUAUGAGUAUAGGCAGUGACCACGCUAGUAAUGGAAUCUGUGACUUUGUCACCAGAAGGAAGCACAGACGUGUUCACAUCACAUUGGACUUUUGCAUAUAGCUCCAAAUGUCGUUUGUGCUCAUCACCGCUCUAAAAUCACGGCCUGUUGCUAGAUCUUGUUCUUUAAUACAUUUGAUAAUGAAGCACAUGUAUUGUGAUUUUAAAAGUUUGGUUUUACAAAUAUACCUUGAUAACUAUUUUUCAGUGUAA